UGGUUAUAGGUAUAAAUUAAAAUAUUGUAUGUAUCCAACCUUUCCCAUUACCCAUUUACAACAGUGGCCGUAUUAGUUCCCAUGACCAGCAGUAUCAGCUCUAUUUGUUUUUUCUAUGAACAACUGCCAUGGUUAACGAUCAUAUCAUAUGAAGAAAACUUGCUUCAAAGUAUAGAAUAUAGCACCUUAUCUGAAAAGUAAUUUUCUCGUGUUAGUACAUUGGGGAAGUCAUUUUUUAUUUCUCACAGUAGUUUUCAUAUUAAAUGGGAAAAACGAGAAAAUUUACAAAAUGCGUUAUUUUCAAAUCGUAAUUAUUACUGCCUUUCAAAAUACGUGUAGCUAAACUUCGCUCAGAAUCGCUGCGUACAGAUAUAGGUACAUACAAUUUUCCCUUUACCUUUCUAAUUUCUCAUCUACAACAGUAGUUCGAAGUAUGUUCGUUUGUUUUAAGUUACCUGUUUACUUAUUUCUAGCAGUCUAAUAUCAUUAAAUUGCAUAGGUAUGACAUAAUUAUUUUUAGGGCUGUAAAUUAGGAUUGUAGGAAGGUUUAUUUUGUUUAGCUGAUUGUCAAAAUAGAUUUUUCGACACAAUUUUUGAAUUGUGUAUUAUGUACUUA